AUGUAUUUUGAAGAUCAUGAAAGUAUGGAAACAAAGAUAAAUCACCUAAGGACCCAUCAUGGUAUGGAUUUUGAUGUAAAUCUAUACAAUUCUGAGAGCGUAACCCAUUUUGGUUGUCCGAAUUGGGAAGCACUUUUCAAGACGUAUGAUUUUCAUGAGGGUAUGCUUGUCACCAUGGAUGUUGGUGAUCCUGACAUCGCCCAAGACAGUAUGGACAUUUGGGUCCUUGUUGAUACGCUUCCAAUUCUACUGCUGUCUUAUUUUAAUUCUUCAAAGAAUGUUCGGAAGAUGGUAGACAGAACCUACUACACCGAUGGCUCUAACUUAUCAGGAGAAAAAUCAUCUGAUCUCAUUUAUUACUGA
rnacentral:rRNA from 1 species